rnacentral:tRNA from 1 species
CGGGGCGUAGCGCAGUUGGCUAGCGCGCUUGGUUCGGGACCAAGAGGUCGACAGUUCAAAUCUGUCCGCCCCGA